rnacentral:rRNA from 1 species
CUAGCAGUAUCAGAGUUUGAUCCUGGCUCAGAACGAGCGCUGGCGGCGUGCUUAACACAUGCAAGUCGAACGUGAAAGUCCUUCGGGAUGAGUAAAGUGGCGCACGGGUGAGUAAUAGAUAGGAACGUACCGAUGAUGGGGGAUAACUGUGGGAAACUACAGCUAAUACCGCAUAAUGACGCAAGUCCAAAGAGGGCCUCUACUUGUAAGCUCUUGUUCAUUGAGCGGCCUAUCUCCCAUUAGCUAGCUGGCGGGGUAAAAGCCCACCAAGGCGACGAUGGGUAGCUGGUCUGAGAGGAUGAUCAGCCACACUGGAACUGAGACACGGUCCAG